CAUGUAGGCGGUUCGUCAAGUCUGAUGUGAAAGCCCGGGGCUCAACCCCGGAAGUGCAUUGGAAACUGGCGAACUUGAGUACGGGAGAGGAAAGUGGAAUUUCGAGUGUAGGGGUGAAAUCCGUAGAUAUUCGAAGGAACACCAGUGGCGAAGGCGGCUUUCUGGACCGAUACUGACGCUGAGAUGCGAAAGCGUGGGGAGCAAACAGGAUUAGAUACCCUGGUAGUC
rnacentral:rRNA from 1 species